rnacentral:rRNA from 1 species
AUUGAGCGCUGUCGGCAGGCCUAACACAUGCAAGUCGAGCGAGCGGCGGACGGGUGAGUAAUGCCUAGGAAUCUGCCUGGUAGUGGGGGAUAACGUCCGGAAACGGGCGCUAAUACCGCAUACCAACGGCUGCGCCCAGAUCGGAUUAGCCCGUAGGUGGGGUAAAGGUCCACCUAGGCAACGAUCCCAAGCUGGUCUGAGAGGAGGACUAGCCACACUGGAACUGCGACACGGUCCAGACUCCUACGGUAGGCAGCAGUGGGGAGUAUUGUACAAUGGGCGCAAGCCUGAUGCAGCCAUGCCGCGUGUAUGAAGAAGGCCUUCGGGUUGUAAAGUACUUUCAGCGGGGAGGCAUUACCCGCAGAAGAAGCACCGGCUAACUCCGUGCCAGCAGCCGCGGUAAUUC